rnacentral:rRNA from 1 species
UACGUAGGGUGCGAGCGUUAAUCGGAAUUACUGGGCGUAAAGCGUGCGCAGGCGGUGAUGUAAGACCGAUGUGGAAUCCCCGGGCUUAACCUGGGAACUGCAUUGGUGACUGCAUUGCUGGAGUAUGGCAGAGGGGGGUGGAAUUCCACGUGUAGCAGUGAAAUGCGUAGAGAUGUGGAGGAACACCGAUGGCGAAGGCAGCCCCCUGGGCCAAUACUGACGCUCAUGCACGAAAGCGUGGGGAGCAAACAGG